rnacentral:rRNA from 1 species
UCCCGCGUCGCUCGCCUUCCGUUCAACGUAGGUUGCGGCCUCUCCUCAUGGAUUCUCCUCCUCUGUUCGCCCCCUCGUGUCUCCUCACGUGAGUGCUUCUGUUGGUGAUGGUUGCGGGUCGUCGAGCUGCGGUGGGCUGGUGCUGCUUAUGGUAUCCCACUAUCCUGUGCCUCUCGCCCUGUGCUUCAUGAGCGGAGGAGGGGUGGUGCUGGCCGUGGACUAGCUGGAUAGCAUAAACUCUCCCUUGUUUUUUUGUGUUUGAAUCAGAUUUGGUGGCUCUCAAUUUUACAUAUGUAUUGAUCUUGGACUUGUUUUGUAUGCAGGGUACACUUGAUGUUUCAUGAUCUGUUCUGCAGAUUUUCAGAACAAUGAGUGCAUAUCUUGGCUUGCAAUGUUGUUGAUUCGACAAAUGUCAUGGAACCUGACAGGUGAGUGCUCCUCUCCCCUUUUCCUCUCUGCUAAAAUUCAGUUCCAAGUUCGCCCAUAUGGAUAUCUUGAUUGAAAUUUGCAGCUCGUUUCUGUCGGACUCGAUGACCGCAUAUGAGCGAACUUGUCCUUCAGAAAUAGUAGGUGAUACUUAUUAUGAUUCAAGAUAUCACCACAUAGACGGCACAGACUAUAAUCAUGAAUAUUUCCCAUUGGCUUCAACGAUUUGGAAGAAUAUUUUUGACAUGAUCUGACGGUUGAUACUUUGGUUCAGGAACUGGCUUUAGACUGGACUUGCGGCUAGAGUAACCCCGAGCAAGCUGAGCUCAAUUGAAAUAUGUAUUCUAAAUUCUGAAGGCAAGCACACGCCCGACACUUUUGCACUUGUAAAAGGCAUGUCGUUUGAAUCAUGCGAAUAAGCGUACGGAUAGUACAAGCUAUUCACUUGGGAGAAUAGUUUCAGAAUUUGUCAUGGAAAACCAAGAUGGGGAGGUGCACAUCACCAGUUGAUGCACAAAAUCGUGUGCUGGUGCCAGGGUAAGAGGGAAAAAGAGAAUUUUUUUUUCGUGCAAAACAGAGUGCAAGGCAAGGAUGCGUCUCCUCCGCACGGCAGAUCAUGGUUGAUAGGUGAGCAUAUUCAGCAACGAGCAUAAUCACCCCUUGUGUGCAAGUCGUGAAGAGACCAGGCAGUGGAACUCACAUAGUGAGGUCAAUCCAGUUCUUAUGAAUUUCAUCAAGAAUCUCAAAAAACGAAGAAAAAACAAUGGGGGCAUCCUCACGAGAUUGAAGGCUACAAAAUUUAUACAAGCGCAAUAUAGAAAAAGUUUGAAGAUGAGUUUUACAAAUCAAUGUCCUUGGUUUUGUGUAGGUGCAUCAGUGAAACUGAAUAUGAAGUUAUGCAUGUGUGCCAAAUAUUUGACCAAACUUGAAGCUAGGCCCUACAUAACAAGUUUAAAGGAUCAUGCAAUUGUGGAUAUUUAGAUCAUAUGGGAAUGUUUAUGCCGACAUUCUAUAAAGGUGAUUGGCAUCUACUAUAAGUCGAUAAAUGAUGCUUUGUUGGUUGCUGCACAACGACAAGAUGAUCGCAUCCCAGCUACUUUGUAUGUAUAAGAUUUGCUACUUCUUGGUCAAUGUUGAUGAGAUGAACUGCUAACUAAGUGUGUUGCCACGGGCCGUUCCAUGCCGAAGGCUGCAACGCCAUGUUUCUUUAUGCUUGUAUCAUGUGCAUCCACAACUCGUAACACUGGUUGUUUCAGGCCCUAAAUAAGCACAUACACUUCAAAAAUUGUCAUGGACUCAUGGCCGUGGACUUAAAAGUGUUUUUGCCAUGUCUGGUAGCUAGGAGGAAUUACAUCAAAGAGCUCGUUAUUUUGCUUUCACGUAUAUGUUAACCAGGUCAUAUCACAAUGACCAUCAAGUCUCAAGUUCAAGCUAUUUGAUUUAGAUUGUGCCAUGCAUAAGUGAAUAUUGUUUUGCAUAGGAAAAUAAGAUUGUAAAUGUAUAUUAUUUGCCUCCAUCAAAUUUAUGAAAUGACAAUCCUUUAUUCGGAAGAACAAGUGAAUACAUAGAUCAAAACAUCUUAAAAUUGGUGACAAAUUAGCGGUUGUUUCCUUUUAUUUAUUGCCUUAUUUCUGGUAUAUGUACCUUCAUUGUGAAAUAUAACAUGACGUACCUUGUCAUUAACUUUCUUUAAUGGGAACUACUUAUAUUUGAUAUUCAUCAUAAACAAAUUCUGAAGGUACUGAAAUCUGUGUACUGAAUUUUGAUUGUGAGUUGGAUGUGUCCUUGAUUGCAGUGAUGGGAUUUGAUUCGAUAAGUGAAGAUAGUGGGUGGAGGAAUAAGAAGAAAAGUCAUUUAAUGAUAUAAUUGAGAAGCUAACAAAGCGGGUUGAUAUACACUAGGAUCCUAAUUUACAUGUUUGACGUAGUUAGUCAACCCGUGUCACUGCCAUAGGUAUAGGGAAAAGACGAUCUAGGAGGUGGCAUCAAGUAAGUGAGUUAGGAAGUAACUAUCAUGUAGGUUGUAUGCAUAACAAAAGGCUGAAUAGGUUAGUAGAUUUGUGUAUGAAAAUAUGAGUAGCACUGUGUGGUGCUUAGACUUCUGAAUUUCUUAAAAAAAAAUUGUCUCUACUUCGUAUAAUGUGCUAUGUUAAUGUAGCUACAGCAUCACAGAAACAUUCUAGCUGCC